CGGGUGAGUAACGCGUGAGGAACCUGCCUCAAAGAGGGGGACAACAGUUGGAAACGACUGCUAAUACCGCAUAAGCCCACGGCUCGGCAUCGAGCAGAGGGAAAAGGAGUGAUCCGCUUUGAGAUGGCCUCGCGUCCGAUUAGCUAGUUGGUGAGGUAACGGCCCACCAAGGCGACGAUCGGUAGCCGGACUGAGAGGUUGAACGGCCACAUUGGGACUGAGACACGGCCCAA
rnacentral:rRNA from 1 species